AGGAGAAGAGGCAGGCAGGACAGAUGUGGGCACCAUCCGUGAAGAAAGAAGCGACAUUCCCUGAGGCGGAAGGGCAGAGAACGCAGGCCGUGGAGCAUGCCCAAGAUGCCCUCUCCUGUGGAAGAGGCAGUGAACAGAUGCCGUUGAGCCCUCGCCUUCGCAGAGGUGUGGAAACAGCUGCUGCUCCCCCAGUCCAG